AGGUGCUCGAUAAUACCUAGAACAGAUGUAAGAAAUAUUUGGUUCUCCUUUAACCAGAACUUUGGCACUCCCAAAAUCGCAUAAUUUAACCUGGUGGGUAUGUGGAUUCACCAAAAGAUUCUGAGGUUUAAUGUCCCUGUGGCACACUCCAAUAGUGCGGUGUAUGUAAGACAAUGCCCUGAAAAUCUGAUAUGUAUAAAGCUUCACAAGUAUCAACGGCAUCCUUUGAUUCAGCUUAUUGUAGUGUUUGAUAACACGGUGAACGGUUUCAGGUACAUACUCAAGAACCAAGUUAAGAUACAGUUCAUCCUUGUCAGUUGUGGAAAAGAAGCAGUGUUUGAGAGACACAACAUUAGGGUGGUCAAGAAGGCGCAUUGUCUGCAAUUCUCGGUUCUUAUAUCUUUUAUCUUGAAGAACCUUUUUAAUAGCAACAGUUUCACCAGUCUCU
rnacentral:misc_RNA from 1 species